rnacentral:lncRNA from 1 species
CGCGGGCGGAGGCUUCCGGGGCUGGGGGCGGUGCCACGUGCAGUGCCGGCGGCGCACGGCAGAGGGCGUAGAGGAGCUACCGCCGCCCUCCCGGAUCCCCACGGCGCGGUCCGCGACGCCCGCCCUGCCGCCGCCUGGCCGAAGCCUCUCCAAGGCCAAGGCCACCCUCGGCCCCGCCCCGCCGCAACCGCCGCCCCGGAGUGUCGGUCGAAGAUCACCCUAGGCCCACGCCCUCUGCCCGCCCCGGACGCGCCACCCCCUUCCUGGGCCUCCCUCCCUCCUUCCGCUCCAGAUUGGUUUUCUGUUGUCCAGACUUCCAUCCGCCAGGGAUUCUCUUUUGACAUCCAUUCAGGUCAGCCCCACAUUUCUCCCUGGAGCUCUGAGAGUCUUCCAGAAAAAGUUCCUGAGGAGAGCUCACUGCUGGAGGUCUUGGUCUCUCACACCCUUGGAGCUCAUCUACCCAAGUGAGGCUGAGUGCCCUCCGCCAGUGCAGACAGACCCAGUCCGUGUUGAUGCAAAACCAGGUCUCUGUGACCAAGAGGAAAAGACCAAGGAGUCCUGGAGAUGACCUAGUUCACAGGCUCUCUCUCUUUGUUCAUGCUCCUGUUUCGGCCAGUUCGUAUGAAGAAAAUGAGGCCCAGGAUGGACCUUGUUCUAUCUGGAAAAAGACAGAAAAGGGACCUUAGGACUGGAAAGGCAACUAUAGGAGCAGCACCCCCUGGUGGCGUUGGGGACCCAAGAAAGCAAAACAUCGGUGUUCAUCCCCAGGAUGAAGCAGGCUGCCUUGUCUGAGCCUGGGGUCUUCGCCAGAGGUGCACCUCAUCAAAGCCCCUGAGAUGCCCCUCCAGGGCCUGGUCCCUGCAGGAGAAACCAAGCUCUAAGGCAGAGGCAAAGGAGCCACACAGCUGCACCCUGCAAGCCUUCUGGAGUCCUUGUCAGCUGUGUCCCUCAUAAGUCAUUCAAGGAGACCUUGUGGGUUCCAAGCUUGGGUCAUUUAAGUGGUUGUUGUCGCAUAAACAUGGCUUUCCAAGG